UGGGUGGUAAAUUCCAUCUAAAGCUAAAUAUUGGCGAGAGACCGAUAGCGAACAAGUACCGUGAGGGAAAGAUGAAAAGCACUUUGGAAAGAGAGUUAACAGUACGUGAAAUUGUUGGAAGGGAAACGCUUGAAGUCAGACUUGCUUGCCGGAGCUUGCUUCGGUUUGCAGGCCAGCAUCAGUUUUCCGGGGUGGAUAAUGACGGUUUGAAGGUAGCAGUCUCGGCUGUGUUAUAGCUUUCCGUUGGAUACAUCCUGGGGGACUGAGGAACGCAACGUGCUUUUUGCGAAAGACUCG
rnacentral:rRNA from 1 species